AUGAGCUUGCCUUCCAAGAAAAUUAUAUAUCAAUUAAAGAUAAACAAAAAACAAGAAAAAGAAAUAACAGUAACACAGCAAGAAGAAACAAAGAAUAAAAGAAACAAAGAAUCAGAAAAGCAGAAUGCAAGAGAAAAGGGAGCAGAGAAAUAGAAAAGAAGACAGACUUGGACCGAAAGACAAAAAGCCGCAUCAAUGAGGACUGGAAGUCACAUUACUCUUCUUAUUUUUAUUUUCUUUUUUCUUUCUAUCUCUUUUUUCUUCUCUCUUCUUUCUUCCUUUUUGUUGUUUUAAAUGAAUUCUUGUAUUUUAAAAAAGAAAAUCACAAUAAAGAUUAUAUAUAAAAGGUUAAGCAAGUUAAAAAAGUUAAAUACAUUUUAAUUGUUUGAAUUAAUAAAGUUUAAAGGGUUCAACCAAAAGAUUACAAUGAAAAACACAAUUUCCCCUAGCAGCAGCAACUAUCAGCCUCCCACACCAUAAGAGGCUUAGGCAGGUAAUAAUAAUAACAAAACAACAAUUAUUUUAUUUCUUACCCACCUCUCCUCAGCUCGAGGUGGGUUACAGAACAAUUAAAACACAUAAGUACAGCAAAAACACCACAAAUACAUAUAUUAAAAUGUACCACUAUAAAAGUUACACAC
rnacentral:lncRNA from 11 species